UGGGGAAUAUUGCGCAAUGGGGGCAACCCUGACGCAGCAACGCCGCGUGAUUGAAGAAGGCCUUCGGGUUGUAAAGAUCUUUAAUCAGGGACGAAGAAUGACGGUACCUGAAGAAUAAGCUCCGGCUAACUACGUGCCAGCAGCCGCGGUAAUACGUAGGGAGCAAGCGUUAUCCGGAUUUACUGGGUGUAAAGGGCGCGCAGGCGGGCCGGCAAGUUGGGAGUGAAAUCCCGGGGCUUAACCCCGGAACUGCUUUCAAAACUGCUGGUCUUGAGUGAUGGAGAGGCAGGCGGAAUUCCGUGUGUAGCGGUGAAAUGCGUAGAUAUACGGAGGAACACCAGUGGCGAAGGCGACCUGCUGGACAUUAACUGACGCUGAGGCGCGAAAGCGUGGGGAGCAAACA
rnacentral:rRNA from 1 species